UACGGAGGGUGCAAGCGUUAUCCGGAUUCACUGGGUUUAAAGGGUGCGUAGGUGGGCUGGUAAGUCAGUGGUGAAAUCUCCGGGCUUAACUCGGAAACUGCCAUUGGUACUAUCAGUCUUGAAUACCGUGGAGGUCAGUAGAAUAUGUCAUGUAGCGGUGAAAUGCUUAGAUAUGACAUAGAAUACCAAUUGCGAAGGCAGCUGGCUACACGAAUAUUGACACUCAGGCACGAAAGCGUGGGGAUCAAACAGG
rnacentral:rRNA from 1 species